ensembl:lncRNA
AUUUCUGAGAAGUGUGUGUUUGAUAAGUUCCUUAACACUAAUCUAUGAGUCAUUCAAGUGGAAAGAAAAGCUCCUAACUCGGGGAUGAACCAGUGUUGUGUCAACAAAUAAAAGGCAACCUGGCAAAGAACCAAUUUAAAAUAAACAUAUCAUUUGUUCCCCCCCUUUUUUUUUUCAAAUCUACAAAAAACCCAAAAGAUAAGUUUGAAAGACAAAAAUUGUAUUUUCUGCCAAUGCAGUAAAAGCAUACCAGGACAGAAAAACAGUGGAAAACUAUCAGUCAUGGAUUGGGCUCCAAGUCCAGACCUCAACAUUAUUGAAGAAACCCGGAGAACUAGAAGACUAGUUAAAGGAAUUAAAACAAAGCUUCCUAAACAGUUCAGACUGUGCUGAAGAAUAAAAGGUGGUUAUACCAAAUAUUGACUUUUAGUCUAGUUAGAACUCUACAAACUUUUUUUUUUAUUUUUUUUUUUUUUACCUUGUAUACCGUUUCCAUCUUUCUCCACCAAAAUAUAAAACAUUUACAUUUGUAACAAAGUAACUUUUCAGCGUUUCAUAAAUAACGAGGAAGGGGGAAAAAAAAUCUAAUUUAGCAGGCAAUAGUCAAAUAAAAAAAAAAAAAAAAUUUUCUCCCCUCUGGGUUUGUUUUUCUUCGUUGCUUGUUUGGUAAAUAAUAAGAGAGGAAAACAAUGUUUAACAUGAAAAGUUCUGUUUUGUAUUCAUUGUAAACAGUUUGUUUUCAGUCUUCUUUUUUUCUUUCUAAACUAUAUCCACAAAUUCACCAUUAAAAUAUUUUGAAUAAAAAAAACAAAACAACUUUUAAACUUUUUUUCACUCGUAACGUCCAGCAGGGGGCGACUCCUCUGGCUGCAAAAAUAAAGAAGUUGGGUUGUAUGGACGUCUAUGGGAAAGUAAACUCAUCAGAAAAGUAUAUAUUCACACUUACAGCUGUCAUGCUUCGUACAGCAUGAUUCUUGUUUUGUAAAUCAUGGACACAUAAGAGUCAAAGAUAACCCAGGGUCUGCUUUACCUUACCAGUGCAGUGUGUUGUUUACUUGUCAAAAAACAAAACAAAAAAACAAAAACAACCCCCCCCAAAAAAAAAACCAAGAUGUCAGCAAUGAAAAUGUCACAUCUGGUUAAAAUUUACACAACUGAAUAAAUACACCCUCAAAUGCAGAUAUUUAAAAGAUAUUUUUUAAUAGUGCACCGAAGUAUGAAAACAAGAGUUGCAAAAUAAGACUAUUCAAGAGCUUAGGUUGGUAUAAGGUUAGCCUUCAUUUAGGUUGUAUAACAUCCUCAGCAUCAAAGACACUUUAAAGACAAAGAUAACGCUCAGACAGUAAAGACAAAACAAAGAACCUGAGAAAGAAAAUCAGCACUCCACGAGCACCAUGAUAAGACAGAAAUAAUCAACGCUUUUCAGGAACCAUAGACUCUCAGUGUUCAAACCUGAAGUCGUGGCUGAAAGAUGGGACUGACUGAUUGGCAAAAAACACAGAAAGUGCAAUAAUUUUUCUGUCACUUAAAGUGCUCAACUCGUUAAUUCACCCUCACAGAACGGCUAUUACCUCCUCCACUCGAAACGCUCAGUCAGAGAUGAGUGCAGGAAAAAAAAAAAAAAAAAAAAAAAACAACACCAUGAAGAUGCACAUAUUUAAAAGGAUGAAGGGAACAACAUCAGCAGCUCAAUUCCAUCGGUAGUGCUGACAUGACCAACACUGAGGCUGAUGACAGAACAACACGGCUCCUUCUUGUCACAUAAAAUCACAAGCACAGUAAAUAUUUUUUCUUCACUUAAGAUGUAAAAUAAAAUCACACACAGUCCAGUUCAGGUGGUGAAAUAUCAGCGAGUUUUGGCUGCAGAGCGAAAGCUUCCUGUGGCGGCAGUCGUUCCAGAAGACACGGAUAUAAAAUAUGAAUCUUUAGUGGUCAUUUGUAGGUCAAAAAUAAAACAGUUCCAUGUACAUGUUUCACUGUGUACACUAUUUACAAACCUUUUUAACAAAGGAAACUGCAGACAACUGUUUUUAUUGCACGAAGGCGAUCACAAAGUUCGGUGACUCCAGUCUGGUUUGAUUUCGGUUGAUCUCCCCUUCAAGGUAGUUUCCUCAGGAAACACUGGACCUCUUCUAACACAACUAUAAGCCAAGAACACUCCUUUAGUAUCCAGCUCUGACUGCGUACUUUCACUUCUGUGUAUCCAUUAGUGUGCCUGUUUGUUCCAGGGUGCCAAACCUGGCCAGUAGGUGGCACUGCGAGAGAAGAUUGUGCUCUUAAACGACCUGAGUGUCACUGUGAACACCCCAACUUUAAAAAAAAACAACAAAAAACUAAAUAACCUGACAGACGAACUUAAAGUGAUGAGAGAAAGAGUAAAGGCAAACGUGCCAAAUGCUGCUGUUCUUUCAUUGUCCACUGGAGCCCCUGGACGCAACCUCCAAACCUUUCUUGUGCUGUUUGAGGCUUCUGGAGCAUUUUAAUGCAGUUACCUCAUUAAUUAUAAGGCUUUCUGAGAGUUGCAGUCGGUCCAAGAAGUUAAUGCAUCAGUUGAGUGAAGUUCUAGUAUAACCGAAAAAGCUUUGGCUUUCGAUUCCUCCUGUUUUCCCGCAGCGUGUUUCAAAAGACUGAUAAGUUCCUGUUCCGUACUGCUCAAAGUCACUGCAAGCUGAUGAGGAGGGCAGGAAGUCAGACACAGGAACAGCUUAAAUUUAAAAAUAAAAGAUUAUGGAGUCGUUAAACGCUCCCAGUGUGACUUGAAGCCGUGCAAAGGACGGAAGAAAACAGUGUCAUGGACACGUAUCCGACAGAUUCCUCGGGUAAGGCUUCAAAAUGGGUGACAUCACCGUGGCUACGUUGAUGAAUUCCUUGUGUGUAACCCUGUAGAUGCAACUCUGUGCCCUACCUGGGACGAUGUGAUCUAACAACCGUGUAAACUGUCCCAAAAUCAAAUGCAAACAAUCAAAACAGGAGGAACGUCCAAGGAGUCGGGGUGCUGGAAGAGGUCCAGAGUUUCACUCAGAGACGACCUUAAAGGGGAGAUGAGCUCAAUCCAAACUUGACGUGGGUUUUUAUUUUUAGGAGCAGAACUUUUUUUGAAGGCUUUCUAUCCCAUUUGGAGCUCGUGUUUAGAAUCCAGCACUGAGAAAACAAGACGUGAUGCUGUCCUGUUCGGCUGUAGUGUUGUCUGUCUAGUGUUUAUAAAGUGGAGACACAGAGGUCGCUCUGACUACCCGAGCCGCCCCCGC